UACCGGGAAGAACCCCGUCUAGUUGGAAUCAUACGUCGUGUGUGUUUAGGACUGCUGCGUUUUAUUUUCACAUGUACGCUAAAUAGAGUAAAAAUACCCACUCGUGGUUUAUGUAAUAUUAAACGACAAUAAUCUCUAUGUCCAUGAGCAUAGGAGCUAUAUAUAAAUAUGGUUUGAAUCUAUGUUUCUCAUGAGGUUCUAUAUAAAAAGGUCGUGUUAGGUAACAGCAUUUAAAUUGCGCAGAGAUUUUUCAGUGUGAUACAUUCCAUGAAACAUGGGAUCAAUAAAUUUUUUUGUACUUUUGUUGGCCAUACUUGUUUUCGUCGAGAGUAUUAAAUGUCAUUGGAUAGGCGGUUAUGGUUACGGUUACCCUAGACCUCCUCCUCCAGUGAUUGUUGGAGGUUUCGGUGUUUUUGGUGGUGGUUUCUACAGACCAUACCCUCAUGUGUUCUACCCCCCACCACCGCCACCGCCUUUCUUCGGCUAAGGAUCUUCAAUGAAUGAUUAAUGAUUACAGCCAACGACUAAUGAUUGACAAUAUCAACGAUUCUUGAUUAUUAUUUUUUUGACUUCAUACAAGAUGGUUGUAAUUUUUUCUGUGAUUUAUAUGUUUAUGAUUAUUUUUUAUAAUUUUCUCGUUUAAUUGUUUUGUAUUUAAUACAUGUUAUAACACUAUAUUUUGUUGACAAUAAAUUCGGUGCAAUAUACAGUGUGAUGUUAUUUGUGAUUAAAAUAUGUUAUAAUGAA